GGGUUGUGAGGUUAAGCGACUAAGCGUACACGGUGGAUGCCCUGGCAGUCAGAGGCGAUGAAGGACGUGCUAAUCUGCGAUAAGCGCCGGUAAGGUGAUAUGAACCGUUAUAACCGGCGAUUUCCGAAUGGGGAAACCCAGUGUGACUCGUCACACUAUCAUUAACUGAAUCCAUAGGUUAAUGAGGCGAACCGGGGGAACUGAAACAUCUAAGUACCCCGAGGAAAAGAAAUCAACCGAGAUUCCCCCAGUAGCGGCGAGCGAACGGGGAGGAGCCCAGAGCCUGAAUCAGCAUGUGUGUUAGUGGAAGCGUCUGGAAAGGCGCGCGAUACAGGGUGACAGCCCCGUACACAAAAGCGCAUGUGCUGUGAGCUCGAUGAGUAGGGCGGGACACGUGGUAUCCUGUCUGAAUAUGGGGGGACCAUCCUCCAAGGCUAAAUACUCCUGACUGACCGAUAGUGAACCAGUACCGUGAGGGAAAGGCGAAAAGAACCCCGGCGAGGGGAGUGAAAAAGAACCUGAAACCGUGUACGUACAAGCAGUGGGAGCACAGGUUUACCUGU
rnacentral:rRNA from 1 species